CGCAAGGCCUUGAAGCAAAGUUGUGUUUACGAACCGUGUCAGAUCCGAGAGGAAGCAGCACUAAGUAUUCUACGCUUGUGCUUCUUGUUUUUUAUAC
rfam:Lactobacillus kunkeei strain LAko contig004, whole genome shotgun sequence.